CUGGAGGUAUCAGAAGUGCGAAUGCUGACAUAAGUAACGAUAAAGCGGGUGAAAAGCCCGCUCGCCGGAAGACCAAGGGUUCCUGUCCAACGUUAAUCGGGGCAGGGUGAGUCGACCCCUAAGGCGAGGCCGAAAGGCGUAGUCGAUGGGAAACGGGUUAAUAUUCCCGUACUUGGUGUUACUGCGAAGGGGGGACGGAGAAGGCUAUGUUGGCCGGGCGACGGUUGUCCCGGUUUAAGCGUGUAGGUGUGUGUUCCAGGUAAAUCCGGUUCACUUUAACACUGAGGCGUGAUGACGAGGCACUACGGUGCUGAAGCAACAAAUGCCCUGCUUCCAGGAAAAGCCUCUAAGCAUCAGGUAACAUCAAAUCGUACCCCAAACCGACACAGGUGGUCAGGUAGAGAAUACCAAGGCGCUUGAGAGAACUCGGGUGAAGGAACUAGGCAAAAUGGUGCCGUAACUUCGGGAGAAGGCACGCUGACACGUAGGUGAAGUGAUUUACUCAUGGAGCUGAAGUCAGUCGAAGAUACCAGCUGGCUGCAACUGUUUAUUAAAAACACAGCACUGUGCAAACACGAAAGUGGACGUAUACGGUGUGACGCCUGCCCGGUGCCGGAAGGUUAAUUGAUGGGGUCAGCGCAAGCGAAGCUCCUGAUCGAAGCCCCGGUAAACGGCGGCCGUAACUAUAACGGUCCUAAGGUAGCGAAAUUCCUUGUCGGGUAAGUUCCGACCUGCACGAAUGGCGUAAUGAUGGCCAGGCUGUCUCCACCCGAGACUCAGUGAAAUUGAACUCGCUGUGAAGAUGCAGUGUACCCGCGGCAAGACGGAAAGACCCCGUGAACCUUUACUAUAGCUUGACACUGAACAUUGAGCCUUGAUGUGUAGGAUAGGUGGGAGGCUUUGAAGUGUGGACGCCAGUCUGCAUGGAGCCGGCCUUGAAAUACCACCCUUUAAUGUUUGAUGUUCUAACGUGGACCCGUGAUCCGGGUUGCGGACAGUGUCUGGUGGGUAGUUUGACUGGGGCGGUCUCCUCCUAAAGAGUAACGGAGGAGCACGAAGGUUGGCUAAUCCUGGUCGGACAUCAGGAGGUUAGUGCAAUGGCAUAAGCCAGCUUGACUGCGAGCGUGACGGCGCGAGCAGGUGCGAAAGCAGGUCAUAGUGAUCCGGUGGUUCUGAAUGGAAGGGCCAUCGCUCAACGGAUAAAAGGUACUCCGGGGAUAACAGGCUGAUACCGCCCAAGAGUUCAUAUCGACGGCGGUGUUUGGCACCUCGAUGUCGGCUCAUCACAUCCUGGGGCUGAAGUAGGUCCCAAGGGUAUGGCUGUUCGCCAUUUAAAGUGGUACGCGAGCUGGGUUUAGAACGUCGUGAGACAGUUCGGUCCCUAUCUGCCGUGGGCGCUGGAGAACUGAGGGGGGCUGCUCCUAGUACGAGAGGACCGGAGUGGACGCAUCACUGGUGUUCGGGUUGUCAUGCCAAUGGCACUGCCCGGUAGCUAAAUGCGGAAGAGAUAAGUGCUGAAAGCAUCUAAGCACGAAACUUGCCCCGAGAUGAGUUC
rnacentral:rRNA from 1 species